AGACAAGUGAAGUGAACAUGGCCCGAACAUUUCUGAUCAAUCACGAGGUGCUAAUGGAAGAAAUCGGUAGAAACGGACGUGCUGAGCGGGCGUCUCCCACGUAGAGUCCAACAGGGAGUACCUGGCAGCCGCUUCGCGGGCCUGGUGAACCGCCCAUUGCUGGUCGAUGCCGCAACAAUGGUAAUGUGUGCAGAAAAUGAAGAAACGUAGGAGCGAAUUCUCUCUAUGGU